GCCUGACGGCAAAAAGGGGACGGAGGGGAUUAAGUCGUUUGUGGCACAAACGACUUAAUCCCCUCCGUCCCCUUUUUGAUCAUUU
rnacentral:miRNA from 1 species